UACGGGGGGAGCAAGCGUUGUCCGGAAUCAUUGGGCGUAAAGCGCGUGUAGGCGGUCCGGUAAGUCCGCUGUGAAAGUCGGGGGCUCAACCCUCGAAUGCCGGUGGAUACUGUCGGGCUAGAGUGCGGAAGAGGCGAGUGGAAUUCCUGGUGUAGCGGUGAAAUGCGCAGAUAUUAGGAAGAACACCAGUGGCGAAGGCGGCUCACUGGCCCGGUACUGACGCUGAGGCGCGAAAGCGUGGGGAGCAAACAGG
rnacentral:rRNA from 1 species